CUUCAUCGCAUCAUCACUAACUAACAAAGCGCAAAGCCUGCAACUGCGAUCUCGGUAACUCUCUCUGUUUCAAAUUCCACAUAACAAUGUCAACCACAAAGGAGGAGAGCAAAACUGCAGCGGCCGGAGCAGAUCAGAGUGGAGAAAAGCGGCCGAAUGAGAAGGUGAUUGAGACGGUUGAUUACAGGUCGCCGGCGGCUGCGGCGGAUGGAGAGAUUACGGAGAAGAGGCCGGUGGAAAUUGUUCACGAGCUCCAUGGUGGAGAGAAGGAUAAGCUUAAUGCUCCAAAGCAAGAUUAGUUGGAUGAUUAUGGGGAUGGCUUGUUCAUUUUUUUCAAUUUGUUCUCAUCGUGUAGUUUAAUGAUUGUGUGAUUUCAGGGAGGUCCUGAUAUAUAUGGGUGUUUGUCAGCUGGUUUAGAAAUCCUUUGUGGCUGUUUAUUCCUUCAGAAUAAAUGAUCUUCGGGUUAUUAUUAAUGAUCUUAUUUUAUUUUAUUUUA